ensembl:lincRNA
CUCUAAAGCUAGAAAAAAGUGCAGUUUAAAGAAGAAAGUGCAAUUUCUCAAGAGAAUGGUUAUCAAAUUCAUAAAAGAAAUGAAAAAACAGAGAAGUCUCACACUAAAUUUCCCACUCUGGCUCUUAGCCUUUUGCAGGGGACAAGUCCUAGUUUCUACCUUCAUAGAAAGCAACGUGGGACCGCAGCUGGGUGGCCACUCUACCUCCUUCCGGCUUCCGGUGGGGACAGCGGAUACACAGCACCAAGAGCCAGGGGCAUUUUUAAUGUAAUUUAGUCCAACUUGCUAGGGAACCAAAGCAAAGUAACUUUAGCAGAUCUAGCCAUGUGACUUCUGACAAGUCACUAAACUCUCUGAGACUUCAUUUUCCCCAUCUGCAGCUCUAACUGUCUGUGGUUUGUAUAAUUCCGCCUUUCGAAGAACAUAGAACAAGGUUCAUAAACUUUGAAGUUAGAUAAGCUGCUGGAAAUCCUAACGCUCGCCCUUGAGUGCUGUGUGACUUUGGGUAAGUUAUAGAACUUUUCUGGGCCUCAGUCUCUUUACCUUUUAAAUGAGACUAAGUGUGUACACGAUGCUAAUUAAUUGAGACAGUGCAUGUGAAGGCUUAGCACAGUCUCUGCCACAAGAAUAACACGAGUGAGUUGUUUUUCUUCCUGUCAUUUUAAGGGCUGUAGCAAUAGUGUUUUUGAUUGCAGUGGGUUGUUGACUGACAAGUGAAUGAGUAUUCGUGGACAUGGAAGAUGAGAUAUGAAAAAAGCCACGAGGAUCAGAGUCGCACGGUCAGCUACCAUGGCAAUCCUGAAAAGCUCCUCUACCUGAAUGGCCUGGUGCCUCAAUAAUUCCCCUGGAGAUCCUGUUCCCUUUCUCAACCUUGGAACUCUGCAUAUUCAACCAGUUGAGUCAACCUCCAACGGAGUGAGAUCAGGCAUCUUCAGUGACCUUAAAAAGCCAGCUUGGCUCUCUAGCCAAGACUCAGAGGCCUGGAGCAAAAUCAGAAUUACUAUGAUACGGAAAAGAAUGCGUGGACGGAAAGCUCCUGUUGCAGCCGUGGAAGGCACUGAUGGAAAUGCUGUUCGGGGGAAUGUGUGUGGAUCUGGUGGGCUAGGCACCCCAGGAAGGCCCCUGGCCCAGUGUAUUUGUUGCAUGUUUCUUACUGCCUUUGGAGAGAUUACCUGGUGCAGGUAAGCAAUGUCUCUUUAGAAAAACUGAGCAUCGAAAAUAAUAAGAGCAAACUGCAGGAUACUGAAUAACAUGUGGGGGAAGACUGCAGUGGUCAUUUCUUCCUUUUUUUUUUUUUGAGACGGAGAUUCGCUCUUGUUACCCAGGCUGGAGUGCAAUGGCGCGAUCUCGGCUCACCGCAACCUCCGCCUCCUGGGUUCAGGCAAUUCUCCUGCCUCAGCCUCCUGAGUACCUGGGACUACAGGCACGCGCCACCAUGCCCAGCUAUUUUUUUGUAUUUUUAGUAGAGACGGGGUUUCACCAUGUUGACCAGGAUGGUCUCAAUCUCUUGACCUCGUGAUCCACCCUCCUCGGCCUCCCAAAGUGCAGUGGUCAUUUCUAUUAAAGUAAAGCAGGAAUGAUAUCCUACGUGUCUACAUUAAUGUCCAAAUUAUGCAAAAACAAGAAUCAGUGCUCCAUGAAUGAUCAGCCUAAGGAUUAGUUACGGUGCACAGGGGUUUUGAUAGGGCAUUAGGUUUGAUUUCUGGACCAAUGGAGGAACAUUUUAAGAAAGUGUUCUUUACUCUGUGUUAAUUACAAACAGUAAUAACACUCCAGUUUCACAAGGCAGAUAUUAACUCUUGCAGUAAUACUGGUGCUCUCGAAGUCAAAUAGUCAUGGCCGAAGAGCUUCUCCAGUGCUCGGUCUUUCCGGACUUCAGUGGUCUCCACCAGCUCUUUAUGACAUCCUGUGCCAAGGCCGAUCGUCCUCCUCGGCGUUCACAGACCUGCCUCACCUCCUGCCGUGCUCUAUGUCAUCUCUUAAGCCUCCCACCCAUGCCCCUUCCUGAAGUCACCCUGCGGCUCUGAGGUUCCUGUGGCUCUUUCUUUGUCAGCUUUGCAGAUGAGGGCACAUCAGUGCCUCAAGAUCCUUCAAGCCCAUGGGCUGUGACUUCGUGCUUCUGUUGUCUUCUCUGGUAACCAAAGGUACUUUGCUAUGAAGAGAAAACCCCUUAGUAACCAACGUGGCUCUCAAUCACAUC